rnacentral:rRNA from 1 species
GACGGACGCUGGCGGCGUGCCUAAUACAUGCAAGUUGAGCGAUGAAGAUUGGUGCUUGCACCAAUUUGAAGAGCAGCGAACGGGUGAGUAACGCGUGGGGAAUCUGCCUUUGAGCGGGGGACAACAUUUGGAAACGAAUGCUAAUACCGCAUAACAACUUUAAACAUAAGUUUUAAGUUUGAAAGAUGCAAUUGCAUCACUCAAAGAUGAUCCCGCGUUGUAUUAGCUAGUUGGUGAGGUAAAGGCUCACCAAGGCGAUGAUACAUAGCCGACCUGAGAGGGUGAUCGGCCACAUUGGGACUGAGACACGGCCCAAACUCCUACGGGAGGCAGCAGUAGGGAAUCUUCGGCAAUGGACGAAAGUCUGACCGAGCAACGCCGCGUGAGUGAAGAAGGUUUUCGGAUCGUAAAACUCUGUUGGUAGAGAAGAACGUUGGUGAGAGUGGAAAGCUCAUCAAGUGACGGUAACUACACAGAAAGGGACGGCUAACUACGUG